GCGGCGGACGGGUGAGUAAUGCCUAGGAAUCUGCCUGGUAGUGGGGGACAACGUUUCGAAAGGAACGCUAAUACCGCAUACGUCCUACGGGAGAAAGCAGGGGACCUUCGGGCCUUGCGCUAUCAGAUGAGCCUAGGUCGGAUUAGCUAGUUGGUGGGGUAAUGGCUCACCAAGGCGACGAUCCGUAACUGGUCUGAGAGGAUGAUCAGUCACACUGGAACUGAGACACGGUCCAGACUCCUACGGGAGGCAGCAGUGGGGAAUAUUGGACAAUGGGCGAAAGCCUGAUCCAGCCAUGCCGCGUGUGUGAAGAAGGUCUUCGGAUUGUAAAGCACUUUAAGUUGGGAGGAAGGGCAGUAAGCUAAUACCUUGCUGUUUUGACGUUACCGACAGAAUAAGCACCGGCUAACUCUGUGCCAGCAGCCGCGGUAAUACAGAGGGUGCAAGCGUUAAUCGGAAUUACUGGGCGUAAAGCGCGCGUAGGUGGUUCGUU
rnacentral:rRNA from 1 species